rnacentral:misc_RNA from 1 species
GAUGAAGAACGCAGCGAAAUGCGAUACGUAAUGUGAAUUGCAGAAUUCAGUGAAUCAUCGAGUCUUUGAACGCACAUUGCGCCCCCUGGUAUUCCGGGGGGCAUGCCUGACCGAGCGUCAUUGCUGCCCUCAAGCACGGCUUGUGUGUUGGGCCUCCGUCCUCCUCCCGGGGGACGGGCCCGAAAGGCAGCGGCGGCACCGCGUCCGGUCCUCGAGCGUAUGGGGCUUCGUCACCCGCUCUUGUAGGCCCGGCCGGCGCUUGCCGACACAUCAAUCUUUUUUCCAGGUUGACCUCGGAUCAGGUAGGGAUACCCGCUGAACUUAAGCAUAUCAAUAAGCGGAGGA